ensembl:rRNA 5S_rRNA 5S ribosomal RNA
GCUUACGGCCACACCGCCUGGUUCACGCCCAAUCUCGUUUGAUCUCGGAAGCUAAGGUAGGUUGGGCCUGGUUAGUACUUGGAUGGGAGACCGCCUGGGAAUACCAGGUGCUGUAAGCU